UACGAAGGGGGCUAGCGUUGCUCGGAAUCACUGGGCGUAAAGCGCACGUAGGCGGAUUGCUAAGUCAGGGGUGAAAUCCUGGAGCUCAACUCCAGAACUGCCUUUGAUACUGAAGAUCUUGAGUCCGGGAGAGGUGAGUGGAGCUGCGAGUGUAGAGGUGAAAUUCGUAGAUAUUCGCAAGAACACCAGUGGCGAAGGCGGCUCACUGGCCCGGUACUGACGCUGAGGCACGAAAGCGUGGGGAGCAAACAGG
rnacentral:rRNA from 1 species